rnacentral:tRNA from 1 species
GAGGCUGUAGCUCAAUGGUAGAGUACUUGCCUCAAAUGCAGAAAGCCCUGCGUUGGAAGCUCAGCACUGGAAAAUAACAAUACCAGGAUUAAAAUCCAUGCAGCCACA